rnacentral:rRNA from 1 species
AUUGAACGCUGGCGGCAGGCUUAACACAUGCAAGUCGAACGCGUGGCGGACGGGUGUGUAAUGCAUGUGAAUCUGGCUUAUGGAGGGGGAUAACGACCGGACACUGUCGCUAAUACCGCGUACCAUAUGAUGAGCCCAAGUGGGAUUAGUUAGUUGGUGGGGUAAUGGACUACCAAGCCGACGUUCUCUAGAUUGGCUGAGAGGAUGACCAGCCACACCGGAACUGAGACACGGCACGGACUCCGACGGGAGGCAGCAGUGGGGAAUAUUGCGCAAUGGGAGCAACAUGACGCAGCCAUGCCGCGUGAAGGAAGAAGGCCUUCGGGUUGGAAAGUUCUUUCGGUGACGAGGCGUUAAUCAAAGAAGAAGCACCGGCUAACUCCGUGCCAGCAGCCGCGGUAAUAC